rnacentral:tRNA from 1 species
GAGGGUAUAGCUCAUGGCAGAGCACAUGCUUAGCAUGGACGAGGCCCUAGGUUCAAUCCCCAGUACCUGCA